CGGAGAGGAAGGAAGAAGGAAAACAACGAAGAGAAAUACAGAAAGGGUUGUAGACCACAUGUGGAGAAAAGGUUGCGGAGAAAAUUAACAGGAGACAGACAUUCCAAACACGCAAGAUGGGAAGGAAAGGGGAAUUGAAUUGUUUUUUCGUUUGGAUGGGGCGAGGUGGGGUUGUGGGUGACUGCUAUCACUGAAGGUGAAUUCGAAAAGCUAAAUAACGGUUCAGGCAAACUGGAGCGUUCCUAAGCCGGGCAAAGGAGGGGAAGCUGGGCGGACGCAACGCGGAGCCCGCAAGAGCGCGGGCGGUGGACCUUCACCCGCGCGACGGACGAGGCCGUCCCCUGCGCCCCCGGCCCGGUCAGCCCACCGCCCGCCAGGAAAACCCAGACCCUUCACUCAUCACCCCCGGCCGUGCUUAGUUUACAAGAAAGUUCUCCUGCUGCCCCUAGUGUGCAGCGUCCAGGGGCCCCUCUUGAGACUUCUGCAGCAUUAAGAUGAAAAAAGCCCUCAGAGGGAAAUGUUUUGCCGACGUGGAAGAGGUGGAAUGAAAGAUGGCAGAAGUACUGAAAGGCAUCAAUAUUGAUGAUUUCAAAAACUGUUUUGAGCAGUGGAAAAAAUGUCUCAAUAGGUGUAUUGUAUCACAUGAAGAACAUUUGAAGGAUCUCACACUGGAGCUCAGAUCCGUGAUCGCCCUAAAGACCUUUCCACGGACAGAUGAAAUGAGCACUGUCAGGGCUCCGCUGUCCAGUUUCACUGAAGUCCUUCUGCUGGGACUUUCCCCCUACACCUCCACAGCCUCUGUGUGACAGACACUCUUCAAGACUCUUUUUGAGGGGAGUUCACCGUGUGCCAGGCUGGAGAACACACGGAAGAGCCUGUGUAGGAGUGCCUGUGGAUGAUGACGGCAGAAAACUGCGGAUGUUUGUGACCUUCACUUUAUUGGACAUUUCCGGGGGUGGUCUGGGGGGCAGCUACUGAUGGGUGGUAUUUUCUUAGAAGAGCAGCAAUUGUCACUCCUUAGCUUAAACAGCAUGGGGAACUCAUUCACCGUCACCUUGAGAUAUGAGGGGAGGUGUGGGGGUGGCCUAUAAACAAAUGGCUUUGCCCUGGCUUCCCAGAGCAUCCCUAUGCCAGACAAA